GGGAUGAACGCUGGCGGCGUGCUUAACACAUGCAAGUCACGGGGGCCCAGCAAUGGGCAACCGGCGAACGGGUGCGUAACACGUGAGCAACCUACCUAAGUGAGGGGGAUAGCCGGCCCAACGGCCGGGUAAUACCGCAUACGCUCGAAUUGAGGCAUUUUGAUUCGAGGAAACCUACGGGGCACUAUGAGGGGCUCGCGGCCUAUCAGCUAGUUGGUGAGGUAACGGCUCACCAAGGCGACGACGGGUA
rnacentral:rRNA from 1 species